GACGAACGCUGGCGGCGUGCUUAACACAUGCAAGUCGAACGGUGAGGCUCCAGCUUGCUGGAGUGGAUCAGUGGCGAACGGGUGAGUAACACGUGAGCAACCUGCCCCAGACUCUGGAAUAAGCGCUGGAAACGGCGUCUAAUACUGGAUACGAGAUCAAGCCGCAUGGUUAUGGUCUGGAAAGUUCUUCGGUUUGGGAUGGGCUCGCGGCCUAUCAGCUUGUUGGUGGGGUAAUGGCUCACCAAGGCGACGACGGGUGGCCGGCCUGAGAGGGCGACCGGCCACACUGCGACUGAGACACGGCCCAGACUCCUACGGGAGGCAGCAGUGGGGAAUAUUGCACAAUGGGCGAAAGCCUGAUGCAGCGACGCCGCGUGAGUGAUGACGGCCUUCGGGUUGUAAACCUCUUUCAGCAGGGAAGAAGCGAAAGUGACGGUACCUGCAGAAGAAGCACCGGCUAACUACGUG
rnacentral:rRNA from 1 species